GCCUCGAUAGUUUAGUCUGGCAGAACCCUAGUUUCAUGAGCUAGUGAUCGCCGGUUCAAAUCCGGCUCGAGGCA
rnacentral:tRNA from 1 species